CGCAGCCCCGAGCCAAAGGGGCGGAAGGUCGCCGAGUGCUGGGAGGGGAGGUGGGGCGGCGACUGAGCGCCGCAGGAGCUGGCUGCAACCGAGACGCGGCCCGGGAGCGUCGGGAAUGGCAAUGUGGACCUCUGAUGGAACAUCUGGUGGGAUCUCACAGUCAGUUCUGUGGCAAAGGAGGAUGAAGACUUAAAGAGGACUCAACAGGAAGCUGGAUAACAGAAAGAGAGCAAUGUGCUAGAAUAGAAGACCAGAAAAUGAAAGAUAUGAAAAAAAGGUGGAGUUUAAGGCUGGAUAUACAGCUUGAAAAGGCUGCGGUGACAAGUGGACAUGCAGUGACUACCUUUUGUACCUUCCUGUUUCUGAGGUGCCUGGAUGGAGGUUCAAAUAGAAGAUAGUGUCAGAUAUACAUUGUGUUGUCAAAAUUUUACCAUUAAAGUGCAUUACAACAUGAA
rnacentral:lncRNA from 1 species